AUGUACAUCCGUCAAUGCUUUUAAAACAGUUGUAGGUGUUUCCAUGCACUUAAUGGCUGAUUUUCAGCCAUCCAGUCGAGCUCACCAUCUCUAAUUAUAUAUAUAUAUAUAU